UACGGAGGGUGCGAGCGUUGUCCGGAAUCACUGGGCGUAAAGCGCGUGUAGGCGGCCAGAAAAGUCCGCUGUGAAAACUCGAGGCUCAACUUCGAGCUGUCGGUGGAAACUUUCUGGCUAGAGUCCGGAAGAGGAGAAUGGAAUUCCUGGUGUAGCGGUGAAAUGCGCAGAUAUCAGGAAGAACACCCGUGGCGAAGGCGGUUCUCUGGGACGGUACUGACGCUGAGACGCGAAAGCGUGGGGAGCGAACAGG
rnacentral:rRNA from 1 species